rnacentral:snRNA from 1 species
AUCACUUCUCGGCCUUUUGGCUAAGAUCAAGUGUAGCAGCUGUCCUUAACAGUUUAAUAUCUACUACGCCUCAAUGUGAGGACAAUACAUUAUAUUAAUGGAUUUUGUGGAACUAGGAGAUGGAAUAGGAGCUUGCUCCAUCCACUUCACGCAUUGACCUGGUAUUGGAGUACCUUAAGGAACAGUGCACCUACC